rnacentral:rRNA from 1 species
UACGGAGGAUGCAAGCGUUAUCCGGAAUCAUUGGGCGUAAAGGGUCCUGAGGUGGUUUGCUAAGUCUACUGUGAAAGAUCAGGGCUCAACCCUGAAAAUGCGGUGGAAACUGGCAGGCUAGAAUACGGUAGGGGCAGGGGGAAUUCCCGGUGUAGCGGUGAAAUGCGUAGAGAUCAGGAAGAACACCAGUGGCGAAGGCGCUCUGCUGGGCCGACACUGACACUGAGAGACGAAAGCUAGGGGAGCGAAUGGG